UUGGGAUUCUCUCUCCUUCUCUCUCUUCCCCUCCCCUCUCUCGAAAACAAACAAAUAAGCUUUAAAACUAUAUGUGUGUUGGAUGGAACGAAAGAAGGAAAAUUAACUGAAUGUAUGAUCGAUUGCUAAAUACCGAACAAGAUAAUGCCGGGUAUGAAUUUUCCCACGGGGGUGUACACCAAGAGGUUAGAAGGAUGACAUUUUUGUAGGUGUUCUCAGCCUCCAACUGCAUACCAUCAGCUGUUCUAAACGGCUGAAGUUUUGUUGGAUUUUUGUCUUCUUCCAUUUGCAUCAACAGCGCCCCUUAUCUGCCCAGAGCAACUUUUCCCAGCAACUGACCGAAAGGAGAGCUUGCUCUCCCAAGGCUGUGGGCAAGAUUCCAUGUGCAAAGGCUGAAUCUGAAAAAGAAAGGAGAAGAAAAAGAAAAGGCGCCUACGAUGACCACAAAAGAAAACCGAAUGAAACCAAGCAGAAAUUACUCUCCACACCCAACAUGGGACUUGAACUCACAACCCCGAGAUCGAGAGCUCCAGGCUCCACCGACUGAGCCAGCCAGGCACCCCAGUUUUACUCCCCGGUGCAUUUGCCCAUUCACACAUACAAAGAUGGAAACGCCGCUGACACCCACGGAAGACGCUGACGAUUCUCCCAAGCCAGGAAAGUCCUUGGAUCUCCGUCCCCUCUCUUGUGGAUGAACACACAUCCGCUCACCAGCCUCAGAUGCCUUUGCUCACUCUCGCCCACGCACUCUCACACAUCCAGCACGAGCCCUCCUCCGCUUCCCCAAGGCUUCCUGGAUGUCGUCUGCCUAUGAGACCAUCGGGACCCAUUUCAGGAUGCCACCGCACAUCAAAUAUUUGAGAAAUAAAGCAAGAUGCCUGUUUGCACGCCUUGCGAGAAGCAGUGGUGAUGAGGCCGUCGGAAGAAAUCUGCGUGCCUAACAACGUGAUUGAAACUUGGGUUUCUGUGUCCCAGCCACUGGGUGAAUGACUUCUAGGAUCUGGGUACCAUAUGGCGAAGCCCUGAGCGGUAUUAAUCAGCACUGUUGUUCCCGUUUCCCUGGAUCUUUUCUGGCAAGAACUCCAGCGGUGGGGCCAGUGCUCGGUGCGGGGUGAACACGCAUAAUGCUGGACAUUUGCACAACUCUUGUCACGGGAUAUACGGUGCGGGGUCGAAGAUAUGCCCGUGGAGGGACACUUCCCAGUUCAGUCCUUCACUCGCCCCUUCCCAGACUUCCCACGGAGCACGGAGGC